rnacentral:piRNA from 1 species
UUCCGUAGCCUGAGAUGUGCCCUUGU